rnacentral:lncRNA from 1 species
CAUCAUGUCUGUGAUCACAUACGGGACUCCGAACAAUCUUCGGUACAUCAAAACUUAUAAACUCAUAAUAAAAUUGUCAUCGUAACGUUAAGCGUGCGGACCCUACGGGUUCGAGAACUAUGUAGACAUGACCUAGAACUAUUCUUGGUCAAUAACCAAUAGCGGAACCUGGAUGCCCAUAUUGGCUCCUACAUAUUAUACGAAGAUAUUUAUCGGUCAAACCGGAUAACAACAUACGUUGUUCCCUUUGUCAUCGGUAUGUUACUUGCCCGAGAUUCGAUCGUCGGUAUCCAAUACCUAGUUCAAUCUCAUUACCGGCAAGUCUCUUUUCUCGUUACGUAAUGCAUCAUUCCGUAACUAACUCAUUAGCUACAUUGCUUGCAAGGCUUAUAGUGAUGUGCAUUACCGAGAGGGCCCAGAGAUACCCCUCCGACAAUCGGAGUGACAAAACCUAAUCUCGAAAUAUGCCAACCCAACAUGUACCUUCGGAGACACCUGUAGCACUCCUUUAUAAUCACCCAGUUACGUUGUGAUGUUUGGUAGCACCCAAAGUGUUCCUCCGGUAAACGCGAGUUGCAUAAUCUCAUAGUUACAGGAACAUGUAUAAGUCAUGAAGAAAGCAAUAGCAAUAUACUAAAUGAUCAAGUGCUAGGCUAAUGGAAUGGGUCAUGUCAAUCGCAUCAUUCUCCUAAUGAUGUGAUCCCAUUAAUCAAAUGGCAACACAUGUCUAUGGUUAGGAAACAUAACCAUCUUUGAUUAAUGAGCUAGUCAAGUAGAGGCAUACUAGUGACGUUAUGUUGCUCUAUGUAUUCACACAUGUAUCAUGUUUCCCGUUAAUACAAUUCUAGCAUGAAUAAUAAACAUUUAUCAUGAUAUGAGGAAAUAAAUAAUAACUUUAUUAUUGCCUCUAGGGCAUAUAUCCUUCAGUAUCCCACUUGAACUAGAGUCAAUAAUCUAGAUUACACAGUAAUGAUUCUAACACCCAUGGAGUCUUGGUGCUGAUCAUGUUUUGCUCGUGAGAGAGGCUUAGUCAAUGGGUCUGCAACAUUCAGAUCCGUAUGUAUCUUGCAAAUCUCUAUGUCUCCCACCUGGACUUGGUCCCGGAUGGAAUUGAAGCGUCUCUUGAUGUGCUUGGUCCUCUUGUGAAAUCUGGAUUCCUUUGCCAAGGCAAUUGCACCAGUAUUGUCACAGAAGAUCUUCAUUGGGCCCGAUGCACUAGGUAUGACACCUAGAUCGGAAAUGAACUCCUUCAUCCAGACUCCUUCAUUUGCUGCUUCCGAAGCAGCUAUGUACUCCGCUUCACAUGUAGACCCCGCCACGACGCUUUGUUUAGAACUGCACCAACUUACAGUUCCACCGUUUAAUAAAAACACGUAUCCGGUUUGCAAGAAUCGUCCGGAUCAGUGUCAAAGCUUGCAUUGACGUAACCAUUUAUGACCAGCUCUUUGUCACCUCCAUAUAUGAGAAACAUAUCCUUAGUCCUUUUCAGGUAUUUUAGGAUGUUCUUGACCGCUGUCCGGUGAUCCACUCCUGGAUUACUUUGGUACCUUCCUGCCAAGCUUAUUGCUAAGCAUAUGUCAGGUCUGGUACACAGCAUUGCAUACAUGAUUGAGCCUAUGGCUGAAGCAUAGGGAACAUCUUUCAUUUUCUCUCUAUCUUCUGCUGUGGUCGGGCAUUGAGUCUGACUCAACUUCACACCUUGGAGCACGGGCAAAAACCCUUUCUUUGCCUGAUCCAUUUUGAACUUUUUCAAAAUUUUAUCAAGGUAUGUGCUUUGUGAAAGUCCUAUUAAGCGUCUUGAUCUAUCUCUAUAAAUCUUGAUGCCCAAUAUGUAAGCAGCUUCACCGAGGUCUUUCAUUGAAAAACUUUUAUUCAAGUAUCCCUUUAUGCUAUCCAGAAAUUCUAUAUCAUCUCCAAUUAAUAAUAUGUCAUCUACAUAUAAUAUCAGAAAUGUUACAAAGCUCCCACUCACUUUCUUGUAAAUGCAGGCUUCUCCAAAAGUCUGUAUAAAACCAUAUGCUUUGAUCACACUAUCAAAGUGUUUAUUCCAACUCCGAGAUGCUUGCACCAGUCCAUAAAUGGAUCGCUGGAGCUUGCACACUUUGUUAGCACCUUUUGGAUCAACAAAACCUUCUGGCUGCAUCAUAUACAACUCUUCUUCCAGAAAUCCAUUCAAGAAUGUAGUUUUGACAUCCAUUUGCCAAAUUUCAUAAUCAUAAAAUGCAGCAAUUGCUAACAUGAUUCGGACAGACUUAAGCAUCGCUACGGGUGAGAAAGUCUCAUCGUAGUCAACCCCUUGAACUUGUCGAAAACCUUUCGCAACAAGUCGAGCUUUAUAGACAGUUACAUUACCAUCAGCGUCAGUCUUCUUCUUAAAGAUCCAUUUGUUCUCAAUGGCUUGCCGAUCAUCGGGCAAGUCAACCAAAGUCCAUACUUUGUUUUCAUACAUGGAUCCCAUCUCAGAUUUCAUGGCCUCUAGCCAUUUUGCGGAAUCUGGGCUCAUCAUCGCUUCCUCAUAGUUUGUAGGUUCAUCAUGGUCAAGUAACAUGACUUCCAGAAUAGGAUUACCGUACCACUCUGGUGUGGAUCUUACUCUGGUAGACCUACGAGGUUCGGUAGAAACUUGAUCUGAAGUUUCAUGAUCAAUAUCAUUAGCUUCCCCACUAAUUGGUGUAGUUGUCACAGGAACCGGUUCUUGUGAAGAACCACUUUCCAAUAAGGGAGCAGGUACAGUUACCUCAUCAAGUUCUACUUUCCUCCCACUCACUUCUUUUGAGAUAAACUCCUUCUCUAGAAAGGAUCGGAAUUUAGCAACGAAAAUCUUGCCCUCAGAUCUAUGAUAGAAGGUGUACCCAACAGUUUCUUUUGGGUAUCCUAUGAAGACACAUUUCUCCGAUUUGGGUUCGAGCUUAUCUGGUUGAAGUUUCUUCACGUAAGCAUCGCAGCCCCAAACUUUAAGAAACGACAACUUUGGUUUCUUGCCAAACCACAGUUCAUGAGGCAUCGUCUCAACGGAUUUUGAUGGUGCCCUAUUUAACGUGAAUGCGGCCGUCUUUAAAGCAUAACCCCAAAAUGAUAGCGGUAAAUCAGUAAGAGACAUCAUAGAUUGCACCAUAUCUAGUAAAGUACGAUUACGAUGUUCGGACACACCAUUUCGUUGUGGUGUUUCGGGUGGCGUGAGUUGCGAAACUAUUCCGCAUUGUUUCAAAUGUAAAACAAACUCGUAACUCAAAUAUUCUCCUCCAUGAUCAGAUCGUAGAAAUUUUAUUUUCUUGUUACAAUGAUUUUCCACUUCACUCUGAAAUUCUUUGAACUUUUCAAAUGUUUCAGACUUGUAUUUCAUUAAGUAGAUAUACCCAUAUCUACUCAAAUCAUCUGUGAAGGUGAGAAAAUAACGAUACCCGCCGCGAGCCUCAACAUUCAUUGGACCACAAACAUCAGUAUGUAUGAUUUCCAACAAAUCAGUUGCUUGCUCCAUAGUUCCGGAGAACGGUGUUUUAGUCAUCUUGCCCACGAGGCACGGUUCGCAAGUACCAAGUGAUUCAUAAUCAAGUGAUUCCAAAAGCCCAUCAGUAUGGAGUUUCUUCAUGCGCUUUACACCGAUAUGACCUAAACGGCAGUGCCACAAAUAAGUUGCACUAUCAUUAUCAACUCUGCAUCUUUUGGUUUCAACACUAUGAAUAUGUGUAUCACUACUAUCGAGAUUCAAUAAAAAUAGACCACUCUUCAAGGGUGCAUGACCAUAAAAGAUAUUACUCAUAUAAAUAGAACAACCAUUAUUCUCUGACUUAAAUGAAUAACCGUCUCGCAUUAAACAAGAUCCAGAUAUAAUGUUCAUGCUCAACGCUGGCACCAAAUAACAAUUAUUUAGGUAUAAAACUAAUCCCGAUGGUAGAUGUAGAGGUAGCGUGCCGACCGCGAUCACAUCGACUUUGGAACCAUUUCCCACGUGCAUCGUCACCUCGUCCUUAGCCAAUCUUCGCUUAAUCCGUAGUCCCUGUUUCGAGUUGCAAAUAUUAGCAACAGAGCCAGUAUCAAAUACCCAGGCUACUGCGAGCAUUAGUAAGGUACACAUCAAUAACAUGUAUAUCACAUAUACCUUUGUUCACUUUGCCAUCCUUCUUAUCCGCCAAAUACUUGGGGCAGUUCCGCUUCCAGUGUCCAGUCUGCUUGCAGUAGAAGCACUCAGUCUCAGGCUUAGGUCCAGACUUGGGUUUCUUCUCUUGAGCAGCAACUUGUUUGCUGUUCUUCUUGAAGUUCCCCUUCUUCUUCCCUUUGCUCUUUUUCUUGAAACUGGUGGUCUUGUUGACCAUCAACACUUGAUGCUCCUUCUUGAUUUCUACCUCCGUGGCUUUUAGCAUUGCGAAGAGCUCGGGAAUAGUUUUGUCCAUCCCUUGCAUAUUAUAGUUCAUCAUGAAGCUCUUGUAGCUUGGUGGCAGUGAUUGAAGAAUUUUGUCAAUGACACUAUCAUCAGGAAGAUUAACUCCUAGUUGAAUCAAGUGAUUAUUAUACCCAGACAUUUGGAGUAUGUGUUCACUGACAGAACUACUCUCCUCCAUCUUGCAGCUAUAGAACUUAUUGGAGACUUCAUAUCUCUCAAUCCGGGCAUUUGCUUGAAAUAUUAACUUCAACUCCUGGAACAUCUCAUAUGCUCCAUGACGUUCAAAACGUCGUUGAAGACCCGGUUCUAAGCCAUAAAGCAUGGCACACUGAACUAUCGAGUAGUCAUCAGCUUUGCUCUGCCAGACGUUCUUAAUGUCGUCAGUUGCAUCAGCAGUAGGCGUGGCACCCAACGGUGCUUCCAGGACGUAAUUCUUCUGUGCAGCAAUGAGGAUAAUCCUCAGGUUAUGGACCCAGUCUGUGUAAUUGCUACCAUCAUCUUUCAACUUUGCUUUCUCAAGGAACGCAUUAAAAUUCAACGGAACAACAGCACGAGCCAUCUAUCUACAACAAACAUAGACAAGCAAAAUACUAUCAGGUACUAAGUUCAUGAUAAAUUUAAGUUGAAUUAAUCAUAUUACUUAAGAACUCCCACUUAGAUAGACAUCCCUCUAAUCCUCUAAGUGAUUACGUGAUCCAUAUCAACUACACCAUGUCCGAUCGUCACAUGAGAUGGAGUAGUUUCAACGGUCAACAUCAAUAUGUUGAUCAUAUCUACUAUAUGAUUCACGCUCGACCUUUCGGUCUCCGUGUUCCGAGGCCAUAUCUGUUAUAUGCUAGGCUCGUCAAGUUUAACCUGAGUAUUCCGUGUGUGCAACUGUUUUGCACCCGUUGUAUUUGAAUGUAGAGCCUAUCACACCCGAUCAUCACAUGGUGUCUCAGCACGAAGAGAUUUCGCAAUGGUGCAUACUCAGGGAGAACACUUCUUGAUAAUUUAGUGAGAGAUCAUCUUAAAAUGCUACCAUCAAUCAAAGCAAGAUAAGAUGCAAAAAGGAUAAACAUCACAUGCAAUCAAUAUAAGUGAUAUGAUAUGGCCAUCAUCAUCUUGUGCUUGUGAUCUCCAUCUUCGAAGCACCGUCGUGAUCACCAUCGUCACCGGCACGGCACCUUGAUCUCCAUCGUAGCAUCGUUGUCAUUACGCCAUCUAUUCCUUCUACGACUAUCGCUACUGCUUAGUGAUAAAGUAAAGCAAUUACAGGGCGUUUGCAUUUCAUACAAUAAAGCGACAACCAUAUGGCUUCUGCCAGUUGCCGAUAACUUUGGUUACAAAACAUGAUCAUCUCAUACAAUAAAAUAUAGCAUCACGUCUUGACCAUAUCACAUCACAACAUGCCCUACAGAAACAAGUUAGACAUCCUCUACUUUGUUGUUGCAAAUUUUACGUGGCUGCUACGGGCUGAGCAAGAACCGUUCUUACCUAUGCAUCAAAAACCACAACGAUAGUUCGUCAAGUUAGUGAUGUUUUAACCUUCGCAAGGACUGGGCGUAGCCACACUUGAUUCAGCUAAAGUGAGAGAAACAGACACCCGCCAGCCACCUUUAAGCACGAGUGCUUGUAACGGUGAAACCAGUCUCGCGUAAGCGUACGCGUAAUGUCGGUCCGGGCUGCUUCAUCUCACAAUACCGCUGAACGAAAGUAUGACAUGCUGGUAAGCAGUAUGACUUGUAUCGCCCACAAGUUACUUGUGUUCUACUCGUGUAUAUGACAUCUACGCAUAAAACCUGGCUCUGAUACCACUGUUGGGGAACGUAGUAAUUUCAAAAUUUUCCUACGCACACACGCAAGAUCAUAGUGAUGCAUAGCAACGAGAAGGGAGAGUGUGUCCACAUACCCUCAUAGACUGUAAGCGGAAGCAUUAUGACAACGCGGUUGAUGUAGUCGUACGUCUUCACGAUCCGACCGAUCCAAGUAUCGAACGUACGGCACCUCCGAGUUCAGCACACGUUCAGCUCGAUGACGAUCCCCGGACUCUGAUCCAGCAAAGUGUCGGGGAUGAGUUCCGUCAGCACGACGGCGUGGUGACGAUGAUGAUGUUCUACCGGCGCAGGGCUUCACCUAAACUCCGUGACGAUUGACCGAGGUGGAAUAUGGCGGAGGGGGGCACCGCAGACGGCUAAGGAACGAUCACGUAGAUCAACUUGUGUGUUCUAGGGUGCCUCCCUGCCCCUGUAUAUAAAGGAGCAAGGGGGGAGGCCGGCCGGCCCUUGUGGAUGCGCCAAGGAGGAGGAGUCCUUCAUCCUAGUAGGAGUAGGACUUCCUCUUUCCUACUCCUACUAGGAGGGGGAAAGGAAGGGGGAGAGGGAGAGGGAAAGAGGGGGGCGCCGCCCCCACUUCUCCUAGUCCAAUUCGGACAAGAGGAGGAGGGGGCGCGCGGCCCAUGCUGGCUGCCCCUCUCUCUCUCCACUAAGGCCCAUAAGGCCCAUUACUUCUCCCGGGGGGGUUCCGGUAACCCUCCGGCACUCCGGUUUUCUCCGAAAACAUCCGGAACACUUUCGGUGUCCGAAUAUAGUCGUCCAAUAUAUCAAUCUUUAUGUCUCGACCAUUUCGAGACUCCUCGUCAUGUCCGUGAUCACAUCCGGGACUCUGAACAAUCUUCGGUACAUCAAAACAUAUAAACUCAUAAUAAAACUGUCAUCGUAACGUUAAGCGUGCGGACCCUACGGGUUCGAGAACUAUGUAGACAUGACCUAGAACUAUUCUUGGUCAAUAACCAAUAGCAGAACCUGGAUGCCCAUAUUGGCUCCUACAUAUUCUACGAAGAUCUUUAUCGGUCAAACCGCAUAACAACAUACGUUGUUCCCUUUGUCAUCGGUAUGUUACUUGCCCGAGAUUCGAUCGUCGGUAUCCAAUACCUAGUUCAAUGUCGUUACCGGCAAGUCUCCUUUCUCGUUACAUAAUGCAUCAUUCUGUAACUAACUCAUUAGCUACAUUGCUUGCAAGGCUUAUAGUGAUGAGCAUUACCGAGAGGGUCCAGAGAUACCUCUCCGACAAUCGGAGUGACAAAACCUAAUCUCAAAAUAUGCCAACCCAACAUGUACCUUCGGAGACACCUGUAGUAC